GACGAACGCUGGCGGCGUGCUUAACACAUGCAAGUCGAACGGAAAGGCCCUGCUUUUGUGGGGUGCUCGAGUGGCGAACGGGUGAGUAACACGUGAGUAACCUGCCCUUGACUUUGGGAUAACUUCAGGAAACUGGGGCUAAUACCGGAUAGGAGCUCCUGCUGCAUGGUGGGGGUUGGAAAGUUUCGGCGGUUGGGGAUGGACUCGCGGCUUAUCAGCUUGUUGGUGGGGUAGUGGCUUACCAAGGCUUUGACGGGUAGCCGGCCUGAGAGGGUGACCGGCCACAUUGGGACUGAGAUACGGCCCAGACUCCUACGGGAGGCAGCAGUGGGGAAUAUUGCACAAUGGGUGGAAGCCUGAUGCAGCAACGCCGUGUGCGGGAUGACGGCCUUCGGGUUGUAAACCGCUUUCGCUCAUGACGAAGCUUUGUGUGACGGUAGUGGGUAAAGAAGCACCGACUAACUACGUG
rnacentral:rRNA from 1 species